AAGCAUGUGCUCCAUCUCAAUUACAUACAACAACUCACCAUAGGAAGCAGCCAUCAAAUAUUACAAUAGCAGAGCUGGUGGCGAUGGGGCAGUUUCGGGUUACUA